UACAGAGGGUGCAAGCGUUGUUCGGAAUUACUGGGCGUAAAGCGUGCGCAGGCGGUUCGUUGUGUCGGCGGUGAAAGCCCCGGGCUUAACCUGGGAAUGGCCGUUGAAACUGGCGAACUGGAGUGUGGCAGAGGGGGGUGGAAUUCCGCGUGUAGCAGUGAAAUGCGUAGAGAUGCGGAGGAACACCGAUGGCGAAGGCAGCCCCCUGGGCUAACACUGACGCUCGAGGCACGAAAGCG
rnacentral:rRNA from 1 species